CGGACGGGUGAGUAACACGUGGAUAACCUACCUAUAAGACUGGGAUAACUUCGGGAAACCGGAGCUAAUACCGGAUAAUAUUUUGAACCGCAUGGUUCAAAAGUGAAAGACGGUCUUGCUGUCACCUAUAGAUGGAUCCGCGCUGCAUUAGCUAGUUGGUAAGGUAACGGCUUACCAAGGCAACGAUGCAUAGCCGACCUGAGAGGGUGAUCGGCCACACUGGAACUGAGACACGGUCCAG
rnacentral:rRNA from 1 species